CACUAGAGAAAAAGAGUGAGAGGAGAGAGAAGCUCUAAAGGUGAAAGCCCAAAAAGGAGUUCUUGUGCUAUGAAGGUCCAUCUUCUUCCUUCUCUCUCUUUCAGCCAACCUUCUGCCUCUCUGCGAGCUAGCACUCUUCGGAAAGCUGAUCAUUCCGGAGCUUCGUGUGGACGAGUCUUCGAAGCCGGACGCUUGUGCGGCUGCGAAGCAUCCUUGAAGGAACCUCCUUCUAAAGGCUGUAAUUGCUUAAGGAAAAUGGGCAAGGGGUCCAUGGUCAGCUAGUCAUACCGAUGAGUUGAAGGUGAAAGAAGAGACAGGCGCACGAUUAAGAUGCUUCCCAUUUGAGCAGAGCCCCUGGGCAUGCAGAAGACAUACUUCAUGACUGGUAAUCCGGCAGAUGAAAUUGCAAUUUUUGCGAAAUCUUACUUAGUUCUUUGUCUUCACCCUUUUGCAAAUCACUAGUUCGAGAGAAUAUCUUCCUCUUGUUUCACUAAUGUAUUCAUGUAACAAUACGCAUUUAUAUCUCUGACCCUUGCUUUUUAAAAUUAUAUAAACUAUAGGGUCAUAUUAUUAUGUUCUUAUGCGUUGCUUCUUGUAAUUUAUGAUGAUUCUAUAUCUCGGGGUUAAAAGGUUGGCACAUUAAUGACUGGUUGUUAGCAU